AUUUAACGCUGGCGGCAUGCCUAACACAUGCAAGUCGAACGGGGCAGCAAUGCCUAGUGGCGGACGGGCGCGGAAUACGCAGGCAUCUGCCCUUAAGUGGGGGAUAACCAGGGGAAAUCAUGACUAAUACCGCAUGCUCUCUUCGGAGCAAAGUGGGGCGACGCAAGGCCCCUCCCUUCUGGAUGCGCCAAAGCCUGAUUAGCAAGUUGGUAGGGUAAAGGCCUACCAAGGCCACGAUCAGGAACUGGUCUGAGAGGAUGAUCAGUCACACCGGAACUGAGACACGGUCCGGACUCCUACGGGAGGCAGCAGUGGGGAAUAUUGGACAAUGGGCGCAAGCCUGAUCCAGCAAUGCCGCGUGUGUGAAGAAGGCCUUCGGGUUGUAAAGCACUUUAGCCUGGAAAGAAAAAACUUUGGUUAACACCCAAAGUCUUGACGGUACCAGGAGAAUAAGCACCGGCUAACUCUGUGCCAGCCGCCGCGGUAAUAC
rnacentral:rRNA from 1 species